UUCCUACGGGAGGCAGCAGUGGGGAAUCUUAGACAAUGGGCGCAAGCCUGAUCUAGCCAUGCCGCGUGUGUGAUGAAGGUCUUAGGAUCGUAAAGCACUUUCGCCAGGGAUGAUAAUGACAGUACCUGGUAAAGAAACCCCGGCUAACUCCGUGCCAGCAGCCGCGGUAAUACGGAGGGGGUUAGCGUUGUUCGGAAUUACUGGGCGUAAAGCGUACGUAGGCGGAUUGGAAAGUUGGGGGUGAAAUCCCAGGGCUCAACCCUGGAACUGCCUCYWAAACUAMUYAGUCUAGAKUUCSAGAGAGGUGAGUGGAAUUCCRAGUGUARAKKUSAMAUUCGUASAUAUUUKRMGGAACACCAGUGGCGAAGGCGGCUCACUGGCUCGAUACUGACGCUGAGGUACGAAAGUGUGGGGAGCAAACAGGAUUAGAUACCCUGGUAGUCCACACCGUAAACGAUGAAUGCCAGUCGUCGGGCAGUAUACUGUUCGGUGACACACCUAACGCAUUAAGCAUC
rnacentral:rRNA from 1 species